rnacentral:rRNA from 1 species
UACGGGGGGGGCGAGCGUUGUUCGGAAUUACUGGGCGUAAAGGGCGCGUAGGCGGUCCGCUAAGUCGGAUGUGAAAACUCUGGGCUCAACCCAGAGCCUGCAUCCGAAACUGACGGGCUAGAGUUCUGGAGGGGGUAGCGGAAUUCCUGGUGUAGCGGUGAAAUGCGUAGAUAUCAGGAGGAACACCGGUGGCGAAGGCGGCUACCUGGACAGAAACUGACGCUGAGGCGCGAAAGCUAGGGGAGCAAACAGG